rnacentral:pre_miRNA from 1 species
UUUUUAGUAUAAAUAUGUUCCAGGUGACAUUUGGGACAUACUUAUACUAAAA